UGGCAGAUCACCUAAGCAGAAUUCUGACCGAGAUGGAGACAUGCCCCAUCAAUGAGACCUUCCCUGAUGAGCACCUCUUUGCUGUCCAAGAAGAGGAACCAUGGUAUGCUGAUAUUGUUAAUUUCCUUGCCAUAGGUGAUUUGCCUACUGAUUUGCCCAAACACAUAAGAGACAAGAUCAAGAAAGAGGCAAAGUAUUAUGUGUGGGAUGAGCCUUACCUGUGGAAGUAUUGUGCAGACCAAGUCAUAAGGAGAUGCAUCCCAAAUCAUGAAAUCACUUCUGUUUUAACUUUCUGCCACUCUUACAGCUGUGGAGGUCACUUUGGGCCACGCAAGACAGCCUUGAAAGUCCUUGAAAGUGGAUUAUUUUGGCCUAACAUAUUUAGAGAUGCUUAUUUAUUUUGUAGGUCAUGUGCAAGGUGCCAACAAACAGGAAACCUUGGCAAAAGAAGUGAAAUGCCACAAGCACCCAUUAUGGUGUGUGAAAUCUUUGACAUAUGGGGCAUUGACUUCAUGGGACCAUUCCCACCUUCCUUUGGCAACACCUAUAUACUACUUGCUAUGGAUUAUGUGUCCAAGUGGAUUGAGGCCAAAGCAACAAGAGCUGAUGAUGCAAAAACAGUGGGUGAUUUUGUAAAAUCCCACAUUUUCUCAAGAUUUGGACUGCCCAAAGCCAUAAUCAGUGACCGAGGCACCCACUUUUGCAACAAGGUAGUAGAAACUCUCCUCAAGAAGCACCAUGUCAUCCAUAGAACAUCUACUGCCUAUCAUCCUCAAACAAAUGGGCUGGCUGAAGUAUCAAAUAGGGAGAUAAAGUCCAUCUUAGAGAAAACGGUCUGCCCAAGUCGCAAGGACUGGAGUACACGCCUCAAUGAUGCCUUAUGGGCAUAUAGGACAGCAUAUAAAACCC
rnacentral:lncRNA from 1 species